UGCAAAAAACACUCGCUAAAGCUUGUGUCUUUUGUAACUUUUAAAAAAUAACUUACUCGUGUGAAAUAAAUUCCAUAUUCAACAACCACUCGUCGUGUAACCUCUAUAUAUACAAUGGCAGCUUGGUUGCUGUGCCAUUUCAUAACAAACAGAAAUGUAUUUUCAAGGUUCUGCCAGCGAGUAGAUGUACAAGCUUCCUUGUAAACACGUAUAAGUAUCGGAUUCCUGUUUUACUGAAGUUGUGAGAAUCCCUCACUUGUGUGUUAGAAUGUUGAUUUCCACUCAACAGUAGUAAGAAGAUCUUGCUGUGAGUGAGAGAAUGUCCAUUUUCAUUACAUUACUGCAAUGUGCCAUAUAUAGGGUAAUACAUAAACAAACCAGAACCUCUUCCAUUUUUCCGGUCAUGUAUAUAAAUAUCCAUUAACUGCAUGGUACCUCCAUAUCACUUGGUAAGCAAAAUAAUUUACUAUUUCUGUCCUCAGCUGGUAUUCAUUGUCUUUGUAGAUAGCUGUGUAUCCCUUAUAAUCAGAGGUGUAGUUGUUAGAGGAGGAGGGACCAAAUCACAAUUAUUUUGCUUAUUGAAUGAAGACAAGCUAUCCCAGCUUCAUUUUUAAGGUACAUUGGCACACAGCCACAUCAAAAGGAUAGCACCUUGUAAUCAUAUACAGUCUGUGGAGGAUUUCACUUCCAUUAAUGUAUCUUACAUGAAAAUACCUUUAAGAAAAUGUUUCUUUUUUUUCUUGUUGAUUUUUUUCCAUUUAAACGCAGCUGCAGUGGAAUUAUUCAUUGCAGUUAUUCUGUUUUAGGUUUUUAAAUAAUUAUUGGAGAUACCUAUUUGGCAUUUACAGAAGUUGGCUGUCAGUGAUGUUGGUGCUAUUGUAUAGAAAGAAUUCAAGAAAUACUCGAACCAAAAUUUAAAUGUUGCCCUCUGCAGCAUUAAGAACCCAUGUUUUUUUUUAUUGCAUGUGGUGUGAACAGACUAUCAUUUAUUCCACAUUGUAAUGGUCUGCUCAAGUCAUCAGGGUGCAAUAUCAAGGCAUGCUAACUAUCAACAGACAAAUGUUUCUAUGUCGAGAAUAUUAUGUUUUUUAUGCACUGUAUUCAAAGAUUGCAUAUCUUCUUUCAUAUAUACAAUAAUUGACGAACACCUGCAGUUUGGUACUUUUAUUAGAAUGUCUACACAAACCUUAUUGUUAAUAAUAGGGAGAAGGCUACUUUUCUAUAUGCAUAUGAGACCAUAUGUUUUCCUGUUAAUAAUUUUUAUUAGAUGAAGACAUUUUUCUGUUACCGUAUUUAUCCUAUAAUAAGGCUAGAGGCCAACACAAAUUUUGACUUGAGUAGGGGAUUAGCAUAUUAGCUUUUUCAUUGAAUUGUACAGGACCUAGAUUAGGUUAUUACCAGGCAUGUUUUUAUUCCUGUAAAAGUGUACUUGAAAUGAUGAAUAUCAUUUUCGGUAGGCUUCAUUAUAAUACAUAUUUUUGUAGUGAAAAAAUAUUUUGUACAGAUGCACCUAUGAUGUGCUAUGUUAAAGGUGUAAAUUUUCGAGUCCCAUGACCACUGAUUUGGUUCCUGCUAUUGAGAAUGGUUGGAAAUGAAAGACAGAUUUUACUGUAUUUAUGAGAUAAUUCUUAAAUAAUCCAGCAGUACUACAGCAUUUCAGUGGUGAUUCAAAUAUAAUUCUUUUCAUAGCUCUAAGGAUAUAUGACAGACAUGAAGCAUUUAUUGUGGGUCGUGUGCAAAAUUGACUUGAAGUUAUAUUUAUAGAAAUUAGGAAUAGUUUUUAGUUAUCAAGAUAGAUGUUACAAUCAAACAUUACAAUGUAAAAUGCUUGAAUUGUUUUUUUAACCAAUGUGGUCGUUCUUAAUGGGUUAGGUUCUCAACUCCUCGUUAAGUCGGGAUAGGUACUGAACUCCCUGUUAAGCUGGGUCAGGUCCUAAAUUCUGUAAAGUCAGGGUUGAUACUUAAACUCUCUGUAAAGAAGGGUUAGAUACUGAACUCUGUAAAGUGGGGGUAUACGUAGGUAUUGAAUUCCCUGUAAAGUGGGGGUAUACGUAGGUAUUGAAUUCCCUGUAAAGUCGGGGUAUACGUAGGUAUUGAAUUCCCUGUAAAGUGGGGGUAUACGUAGGUACUGAAUUCCCUGUAAAGUGGGGGUAUACGUAGGUACUGAAUUCCCUGUAAAGUGGGGGUAUACGUAGGUACUGAAUUCCCUGUAAAGUGGGGGUAUACGUAGGUACUGAAUUCCCUGUAAAGUGGGAGUAGUACUGAACUUUCUGUAGUUGGUAUAGGUCCUGAAUUUCCUGUAAAGUGGUAGUAGGUACUUAACUCCCUGUUAAAUUUGGGCAGGUACAGAACUUCCUGUAAAGUGGGGGCAGGUACUGAAUUCUCUUUAAAAUGGGGGUAGGUUCUAAACUUGCUUUAAGUUGGUAUAGGUCUUAAACUUCCUGUAAAGUGGGAGUAGGUACUGAAAUCUUAGCAAAUUGAGGGCAGGUCCUGAACUUCCUCUGAAGUGGGGAUAUGUCCUGAACUUCCUGUAAUGUAGAGGUAGGUACUGAACUCCCUGUAAUGUAGAGGUAGGUACUGAACUCUCUGUAAUAUAGAGGUAUGUACUGAACUCCCUGUAAUGUAGAGGUAGGUACUGAACUCCCUGUAAUAUAAAGGUAGGUACUGAACUCCCUGUAAUAUAAAGGUAGGCACUGAACUCCAUGUAAUAUAGAGGUAGGCACUGAACUCCAUGUAAUAUAGAGGUAGGCACUGAACUUCCUGUAAUAUAGAGGUAGGCACUGAACUCCCUGUAAUAUAGAGGUAGGUACUGAACUCCCUGUAAUAUACAGGAAGGUACUGAACUCCCUGUUAUAUAGAGGUAGGUACUGAACUCCCUGAAAUGUAGAGGUAGGUACUGAACUCCCUGUAAUAUAGAGGUAGGUACUGAACUCCAUGUAAUAUAGAGGUAGGUACUGAACUCCCUGUAAUAUAGAGGGAAGUACUGAACUCCCUGUAAUGUAGAGGAAGGCACUGAACUCCCUGUAAUAUAGAGGUAGGUACAGUACUCCCUGUAAUAUAGAAGUAGGUACUGAACUCCCUGUAAUAUAGAGGUAGGUACUGAACUCCCUGAUAUAUAGAGGUAGGUACUGAACUCCCUGUAAUAUAGAGGUAGGUACUGCGCUCCCUGUAAUGUAAAGGUAGGUACUGAACUCCCUGUAAUAAAGGGGGAAGUAUUGUACUCCUUCACAUGAAAUCUGAUAUAGAUUUUAGUCCUCAAUUCUAUGUCCACUGUAAAUCUGUUUAGGUUCACUCAAUCAUUAUAACAAUGGAUCAAUGGAGUGAUGACCUACACCACACACAAUAGUUAACACAAAAUAUAUACAGUAAACUGCAAUAAACACAAUCGUAAUUUAGCAUUUUGCAUCCAGCUGUAAGAUUACCACUAAAUAUGUUUACAGUAUUUGAAUGUUAUCAGGUCAAUGGAAGAUGAUCCAUUCAACCAUUUGUAUGGUGUGUUUGUAAACACAACAAGGUAGCUCUUUUGUAUAAUGACAUGUUCAAUCAUUAAUUCAGUUAUAUUUGAUUCGUGUUAUGAUUUCAAAGUGUUUAAUUUUAGAAAUAUGAAAUGAAAAAAAAAAUGAAUUUUUCGAUUUUAAUUAAGUGUUGAAAUAAUUUUGUUGUAAUGAAAUAUAAAGAUGUAUUGAUUUUAGUAAAUUAGAUAUUUGGAGUAAAUAAAGCAAUUUGACUGCA